CCUCAGGUUCCCUGAGCUGGGAUGAUACCUAUGGGCAUCUCUGCCAGGCACACCUAGAGUCCUGGUUGUGUUACAGGAUCUCCGCGAUGACCUGCCAAACCAGUCUCUCCUCAUUUGUGACGCUCCAGGCUGUGAGAGAAGCAGGCGGACUGGUGGUUGGCUCAUAAUAAAGAAUUCAGCAUUCUCGGAAUCAGAAUGGAUCGUGUGCGCUAUUGCAGCCC